rnacentral:rRNA from 1 species
GGAUUAGAUACCCUGGUAGUCCACGCCGUAAACGGUGGGCGCUAGGUGUGGGGAACAUUCCACGUUCUCCGUGCCGCAGCUAACGCAUUAAGCGCCCCGCCUGGGGAGUACGGCCGCAAGGCUAAAACUCAAAGGAAUUGACGGGGGCCCGCACAAGCGGCGGAGCAUGCGGCUUAAUUCGAUGCAACGCGAAGAACCUUACCUAGGCUUGACAGUUGGGGAAAUCUGGCAGAGAUGUCAGGUCCGUAAGGGCCCCAAAACAGGUGGUGCAUGGCUGUCGUCAGCUCGUGCCG